AACGAACGCUGGCGGCAUGCCUAACGCAUGCAAGUCGAACGAGACCUUCGGGUCUAGUGGCGCACGGGUGCGUAACGCGUGGGAACCUGCCCUUAGGUUCGGAAUAACUCCCCGAAAGGGGUGCUAAUACCGGAUAAUGUCUUCGGACCAAAGAUUUAUCGCCUUUGGAUGGGCCCGCGUUGGAUUAGCUAGUUGGUAGGGUAAAAGCCUACCAAGGCGACGAUCCAUAGCUGGUCUGAGAGGAUGAUCAGCCACACUGGGACUGAGACACGGCCCAGACUCCUACGGGAGGCAGCAGUGGGGAAUAUUGGACAGUGGGCGAAAGCCUGAUCCAGCAAUGCCGCGUGAGUGAUGAAGGCCUUAGGGUUGUAAAGCUCUUUUACCCGGGAUGAUAAUGACAGUACCGGGAGAAUAAGCUCCGGCUAACUCCGUG
rnacentral:rRNA from 1 species